rnacentral:lncRNA from 1 species
AUAUUAAUUCAGCAUUAACAUUCAAAACCGGCAGUUUUCGGUCGUUUUAAUAAAAUAGUUAAAUUAUUCCAAAAAUUCCCAAAUUUUUACAAGAUGACUUAAACGUUCCAUAUUUUAUUGUGUAAAAAUAUCGGGGUCCGGUUCACUACCAAUAUUUUAUAAAAAAUCAUAUUCCGGACUGAACUCAGAUUUAUGAAUUUCUGACCACAGUCCACGGAACAAUUUAUUAAAAAUUCAUCGAGUGUCCGAUUUACGAAAUUCCAGUGGGGUAAUUACACAUGCAUCGGUUGUCAUCUACUGUACAAAUUUCAUGGUCCGAUUCAUCACAAAACUCAGGUUAUGACUGAAAGUACGACACCCAUUUAUUGCUGUCAAAAUCCAGCUUAAGUUGCUGUUACAAAUUAAUACUUUAAAAAUAGUAAACGGAGAAAGAUGGUUUAUGACCUGUUUACAGCCAACUGAAGUUGGCUGUAAAGUAUGGACAGAUUGCUGUUUUUAGUCUCUAGCUUACUAGUUUGUGCUCGGUUGAUCCCGUUAAUUAUGUUUAGUGAUCGUAACAACAUCAAACAUCCAUAUAAUCCAGCAACACAUCAGAUAAUCAACCAAUAAUCAUAAUCACACAAGAUCUACAUGCUUUACACUAAUAUUCAUUCAUUAACCACCUUGUUCAUCAUUUUAGUAGACUUUUAGAUUUGGAUCUUGUAUGUUCAUAAUUUUUUAACCGACUAAUCUCUUAUUAACCACAUCAAACAUGAACAAGAAGUUGACUAGAAGCACUUACAACUAGCUCAAGGCUAGGGAAGAAACUAUGCGAAAAAGAGGUGGAUAAAAGCAAGAUAGAGAGGUCCUUCGCCUUCCGUUAGCUCCAAGACUCCUUAUGCGUGACCCGUAAAACUUGUAUAACUUUGGAAUGAGGAGAUCAAGAGCCGAAAAUGGUGGUGUGUUCAAGGGGGGUCUCGGCCGUGAGCUAGGGAGGAGAGGAGAGAAAGCGAGUUUUGGUGGAAUGGUGGUAUUUAUAAGAUCUUCCAUAUAGCAUAUUCCUAGCAU